GGGUUGGAAAUAAGGAUAAACAUGAACUGUGUCUCUAAAAUCAUUUUGUAUUUGAGUAAUUCUGCACAUGAAGGCUAUGCAAGAGAUGGCACAAAGGUCAUUCUGUGAUGAGGUGAGACUGGAAGCAAGAGCAAAUUGGGCAGCAGAAGCCCAGCCGGAAGAAGCCAUCCAUUUCCUAUGGUCAUCUAGAGGCUUGUUUUCUCGUCUUUCUACCUUGUCCC